UAGGGAAUCUUCGGCAAUGGGGGGAACCCUGACCGAGCAACGCCGCGUGAGUGAAGAAGGUUUUCGGAUCGUAAAGCUCUGUUGUUAAGGAAGAACGAGUGUGAGAAUGGAAAGUUCAUACUGUGACGGUACUUAACCAGAAAGGGACGGCUAACUACGUGCCAGCAGCCGCGGUAAUACGUAGGUCCCGAGCGUUGUCCGGAUUUAUUGGGCGUAAAGCGAGCGCAGGCGGUUAGAUAAGUCUGAAGUUAAAGGCAGUGGCUCAACCAUUGUAGGCUUUGGAAACUGUUUAACUUGAGUGCAGAAGGGGCGAGUGGAAUUCCAUGUGUAGCGGUGAAUUGCGUAGAUAUAUGGAGGAACACCGGUGGCGAAAGCGGCUCUCUGGUCUGUAACUGACGCUGAGGCUCGAAAGCGUGGGGAGCGAACAGG
rnacentral:rRNA from 1 species